CCCUUAGACGUUCUGGGCCGCACGCGCGCUACACUGACACAGGCAACGAGCUUUCCUUUACCGAAAGGUAUGGGUAAUCUUUUGAAACUGUGUCGUGCUGGGGAUAGAUCCUUGCAAUUUUUGAUCUUAAACGAGGAAUUCCUAGUAAACGCAGAUCAUCAAUCUGCAUUGAUUACGUCCCUGCCCUUUGUACACACCGCCCGUCGCACCUACCGAUUGGAUGGUCCGGUGAAGCCUCGGGAUUGUGGUUCUUGCCGCUUUAUUGUGGCGUGACCGCGAGAACUUGUCUAAACCUUAUCAUCUAGAGGAAGGUGAAGUCGUAACA
rnacentral:rRNA from 1 species